rnacentral:rRNA from 1 species
AUGUGUGGUAAAAUAAGCUAUACGGCUGGCCAUGCAGGCACCGCAACUUCAGAUUUUGCAAAUAAUGACGGGCAUAUGUACAUGUACUGCACAAAGUCAAAUAAUAUAGUUCGAUCACAUAUUCCACAAUUGUUUCUGUUUACAAAAUUUGUGAGGCCUUGGAUCUUCACCAAUGGUGAUCUUUUAACCAUGCCCAAACAGCUUCUGUUGAUCAUGCAGCCUGCGCCCUACGAGCAAACAAUGGCAUUGUUUCUUUUUGGAAUAUGUAAUGCAUAUUGUUCUCCGCCCACUAAAAAGAAACAAUUGAUCUUCCGCCAUUUCUAG